AGAGUUUGAUCCUGGCUCAGGACGAACGCUGGCGGCGUGCCUAACACAUGCAAGUCGAACGGGGCUAGGAAAGCUUGCUUUCCGAUGCCUAGUGGCGGACGGGUGAGUAACGCGUGAGUAACCUGCCUUUCAGAGGGGAAUAACGUUCUGAAAAGAACGCUAAUACCGCAUAAUGUACAGCUUUCGCAUGGAAGCAGUACCAAAGGAGCAAUCCGCUGAGAGAUGGACUCGCGUCCGAUUAGCUAGUUGGUGGGGUAAAGGCCUACCAAGGCGAUGAUCGGUAGCCGGACUGAGAGGUUGAACGGCCACAUUGGGACUGAGACACGGCCCAGACUCCUACGGGAGGCAGCAGUGGGGGAUAUUGCACAAUGGGGGAAACCCUGAUGCAGCAACGCCGCGUGUGGGAAGAAGGUUUUCGGAUUGUAAACCACUGUUCUUGGUGAAGAUAAUGACGGUAACCAAGGAGAAAGCUCCGGCUAACUACGUGCCAGCAGCCGCGGUAAUACGUAGGGAGCAAGCGUUGUCCGGAUUUACUGGGUGUAAAGGGUGCGUAGGCGGCUUUGCAAGUCAGACGUGAAAACCACAGGCUCAACCUGUGGACUGCGUUUGAAUCUGUAGGGCUUGAGUGAAGUAGAGGUAGGCGGAAUUCCCGGUGUAGCGGUGAAAUGCGUAGAGAUCGGGAGGAACACCAGUGGCGAAGGCGGCCUACUGGGCUUUAACUGACGCUGAGGCACGAAAGCAUGGGUAGCAAACAGGAUUAGAUACCCUGGUAGUCCAUGCCGUAAACGAUGAUUAUUAGGUGUGGGGGGUCUGACCCCCUCCGUGCCGGAGUU
rnacentral:rRNA from 1 species